CCAAUGGCCCUACAGUAAUAUUAACUUUACUUUUAUUGUAUCUUAAUUGUUGAGGGAUUGGGGGUGGGAGGCUGCUGGAUGAGGAGUCAGCAACGCCUGCAGUGGUGACUACUUCUUUCCUUAUUUCCGAAAUGAAAUCAGGGGUUGUGGAAGCAUUUAUGGUAACCUUGGCUCACGACUGUCUUGCUGUUGCCCUCUGGAAAGCUUUAAAUGAUCUUUGAGAAAUCUCUUUCCCAGGCGAGAUGACUCGGAGAAGUUCACUCAGCAAAGCCAUUGAGGACCACACUCUUGUUCCAGGGUAUGACUGCUUGCCUGAUGCUGCCCCAGAGAAAAGCGUGAGGAACAUUAACAUUCUACCCAGACCGCCAAAGAUGAUUUGACUCAUAACUCAAGAACAGACAUAGAAGAAGAAUUUUCAAAAACGAAACAUCUGUAAUGAGAGGAGUGUCAUUAGCAUUUUAAACUCUGGACCGAUUUUAAUAAGAUUUUGAUAUGUUUGUCAUUAAUUUGUUAUCAAUGGAAAGAUACAGUUCUUGAAAAAAUAUAAAGUACUUUUCCAUGCAUUUAUCCAGCAAGUACUCUUGGGCACCUGCUAUGUACUGGGCACUGUGAUAAUUGUUUAGACUGUGUUGAGGUGAACAGAACAGGCACAACAGAAUGCCCUUAUGGACAGUCAAUAAACAUGUGUAUUUCCUUGUUGCUAAGUGCUAUGAAGACAAAAAACAGAUAGCUGUGGCAGAAAAUAAAGAGAGGAUCUAAUACAGCCUUGGGCAGUUAGGGAAGACUGCUGAGUUUUGAAGAACCAGAAGUUAAUGAUGUGAAUAGUGAAUAGAGGAAUGCUCCAGGUAGGGGAGGCAGAUUGUACUGCUGAAUGUCCAUCCAACCACCACCCAGAAGUCAAAAAGGUGUGCAGAGUGUUUCCCAAAUUAAUUAAGUGAUUAAGGAGGCUGUAAUGAGGCUUAUGUGUACCCCUUGGACUGGCACACAUGCAUACAAAAACAAACACAAUCGUCACCACCACCACCACCAUUAACCAUAGAUGCAGAAAACACAAGUGGAAAUGUUGACAUAUUAAAGUGCUUGCAAAGCCUUGAUGUGAUCAAUGUCACCACAUACUAGUCAUCCCUAGAAAGCAGGUCUUAAGAGAAAGUAGAAACUCCUAGGGCAUCCUCUGACAUGAGGAUCAGUCACUGCUAUUAGAAACGUGUAGCCAAGGUAAAAAGGAGACUAACUGUUCCAAAACCUUGGAGAAUUGAGACUAGAACAUAAAAUAAAUGUGAGAGUAAGUCAGGUGUAGCAGAAAUCAUGAAGGUGAUGAAAAGUCUAUGAGAAUCAUAAAUAACCAGGUAGAUACUUUCUUAAAAAUGUCAUUAUCUAAUAUAGAAUUUAACUUAAGAAUUACGAGCUAUACAUUUUGAGCACCUCUCCUCACCUCUAACUUUCCACGUUUUCUAAAAUCUGUCAUGACUUUGGAAAUGACUUUUAGUAGCUAGAUUGACUAAGGGAAAAUAACUUGGAAACUUGGUACAGAUUUGAGGAAACAAGGAUUUUUGAAAAAAACAAUUUUAUGUUCACAGUAUCCUAAGCUACUCAGAACUAGGUAGUGUUAUAUAAAAGGACCAUAUGUUCACAGUGGAUAAUUUAAAUAGAGCCUACAGAGUCCUUCUAGUCCUUCUAUGGCACUGUUUAAUACAGUAGCCAUAUGUAGUCAUAGGACAUUUGGAAUAUAGCUAGUCCGAAUUCAG
ensembl:lncRNA